rnacentral:rRNA from 1 species
GACCCCGCCAACCGCAACAAGCUGCCCCAGAUCCUCCCUGGCUUCCUCUACAUGACAGUCAGCGACAACGGGCGCGUCCACCACUUCGCCAGCGUCUCCAGUGACGGCGCAACAGCCCCGUUCGACCCCUCCCUCCCUUGCCUGCACGACCAUGACAAGGACGAGGGAAUCAUCCAGGUGAACGCCUGCAAUGGCCUCCUUCUCUACCGCCGCUACAAGAAAAACAACAACGUGAACCCUUUGAUGAAAGAGGAUGAUUUCCGUUUCGUUGUGUGCAAUCCCGUCACCCGGAGGUGGGUGGAGCUGCCCCCGCUGCCUGUGGCCGACAGAAGUAGCCGUACCACAGGCUUGGCUUUCGAUCCGGCCGUAUCUUCCGACUUCCACGUUCUUCACUUUGAGCAGACCUUUCAGGAAAAGUACAUCACAUGAGUGAACAUUUACUCGUCGCGGACAGGAGCCUGGAGUCAUAGGGGUAAUGAGAUGGCUGAGAAAGUCAUGCUAUUCUUUCGGAGUAGAUGCAUCCUUGUUGGCGGCAUGCUCUACCUCAUGGGCAGCCUUAAACGCAAUGACGGUCAUCAUCUGUUGCUGGGGGUGGACAUGGAGGGCAAAGUGUGGAAGACCAGCAGUCUGCCAUACGGCCGAAGAUUUGCUACGAUUGGCUCGUCGCAGGGGCGCUUACACUACACUGUAGCUUUCUUCGAUGAUAACAACCAAAUCUCUGGGUUAGAGCUCUGGUUCCUUCAGGAUUGCGAUAGUAAAGAAUUGGUCCUGAAGCAUACUGCCAGCUUCAAUAAGCUUAUGAGCAUGACUGGGAAGGUGUACAUGGCGGCUGAGAUUCAUCCAGAUUGCGACACCAUUUUCCUCAUGUCAUGUUUAGGUGAUACCUUGGUAGCAUAUGAUAUGCGACAUCAGAAAGUUCGAUAUAUCCUUAAUCUUGAGAAGAGCAACACACAAUAGCUUCUACCCUAUUUUCCUCUGUUCUCAGAGUCAUUAGCAGAUGCAGAUGGGCAAUAG